rnacentral:rRNA from 1 species
UACGUAGGGUGCAAGCGUUAAUCGGAAUUACUGGGCGUAAAGCGUGCGCAGGCGGUUAUGUAAGACAGAUGUGAAAUGCCCGGGCUUAACCUGGGAACUGCAUUUGUGACUGCAUGGCUAGAGUUUGGCAGAGGGGGGUAGAAUUCCACGUGUAGCAGUGAAAUGCGUAGAUAUGUGGAGGAAUACCGAUGGCGAAGGCAGCCCCCUGGGAUAACACUGACGCUCACGCACGAAAGCGUGGGGAGCAAACAGG